GGCAAGGUGGCCGAGUGGUUAAGGCGUUAGCCUUGAAAGCUAAUCCCCUAGGGGUCGCGUGUUCGAAUCACGUCCUUGUCG
rnacentral:tRNA from 1 species